AUAAUAGCUCCAAUGAAUUUAGAAUGACCUUCCCGACAAAACCAAGCUUUCAUGAGUUGCACUAAAAAGUUGCAUCUCUAUUCCCUACAAAGUAAGAGUCAAUUCUCAAACAAUCUGCGCCAGCCACCAUUGAAUCCAUGAGCUCACAAAUCUUCCAUUGUUGUAAGCUCCUUCCAGAACACCUCUACUUUUUACACGUGUCCAAUUUCUAUUUGCUGUAAGUCAAGGCGUGGGUCCACGUGGUUCUCUUUUCUCUUUUCCUAUAAUAAAUAGUAAUAAUAAUAAAUAAUUCGAAAGAGAAAGAACCGAAGAACAAAUUGUCAUCCAUUUCCAUCGGCGAAGAAACCAUCUUCAAAUCCUAGAAAAAUUUCCCAAAUUUGCAAAAAUACAUUACAUUUUGUGGGUUUUUUUUAAAAUUACACAAAAAAAUCAAUUUCGAGAGGGGGGAGGCGGUAAAAACGAUGCCGUUUCUACGGCGGAGGAAGGGUGCAUCUCUGAAGGAUGAUUCUAGAAACAUCGAGAAAGAAAAAAAAGAAGAUUCAGAAGAAGAAGAGAACAAAAAGAGAAGAUUAAAAGAAGAAGGAGAAGAAAUUCAAAUAAGAAAGGUUAAGAAGAAGUGGUCUUGUGUUGAUAGUUGUUGUUGGUUUGUGGGUUGCAUAUGUUGUUCAUGGUGGUUUUUACUAUUUUUAUACAAUGCAAUGCCAGCUUCAUUUCCUCAGUUUGUAACAGAAGCAAUAACUGGGCCUUUACCUGAUCCUCCUGGUGUUAAAUUACAUAAACAAGGUUUAAAAGUUAAACAUCCUGUUGUUUUUAUACCUGGUAUUGUUACUGGUGGUCUUGAGCUUUGGGAAGGUCAUCAAUGUGCUGAAGGUUUGUUUAGGAAAAGACUUUGGGGUGGUACUUUUGGUGAAUUGUAUAAAAGACCGCUUUGUUGGGUUGAGCACAUGUCUUUGGAUAAUGAAACUGGAUUGGACCCGUCUGGUGUAAGGGUUAGACCUGUCUCUGGUCUUGUGGCUGCUGAUUAUUUUGCACCUGGUUAUUUUGUUUGGGCUGUUUUGAUAGCUAAUUUGGCUCGAAUAGGGUAUGAAGAGAAAACAAUGUAUAUGGCUGCAUAUGAUUGGAGAAUUGCAUUUCAGAACACUGAGGUGAGGGACCAAACUCUUAGCAGAAUGAAAAGUAAUAUAGAACUUAUGGUUGCUACAAAUGGAGGGAACAAGGUGGUUGUCAUUCCACAUUCUAUGGGGGCUCUGUAUUUUUUACACUUUAUGAAAUGGGUUGAGGCACCAGCACCAAUGGGUGGUGGAGGUGGAUCUGAUUGGUGUGCUAAGCAUAUCAAAGCGGUAAUGAAUAUUGGUGGACCAUUUCUAGGUGUACCCAAAGCCGUUUCUGGACUAUUCUCAGCAGAAGCCAAGGAUAUUGCUGUAGCCAGGUCUGUUGCGCCUUCAUUUUUGGAUAAGGAUUACUUUGGUCUUCAAACCCUACAACAUGUAAUGAGGAUGACUCGUACAUGGGAUACAACCAUGUCAAUGAUUCCAAAAGGUGGGGACACCAUCUGGGGUAAUCUUGAUUGGUCACCUGAAAAUGGAUACAAGUGUCCUUUGAAGAAGCAGAAGAAUAAUGAUACUGAUACAGUUGGAAAGAAUCCUAAUGGAUGCUCGGAAUCAUCUGGAAAAGGUGUGAAUUAUGGAAGAAUUAUAUCCUUUGGAAAAGGUGUAGCUGAGGCUCCUUCUUCAGAGAUUGAGAGGAUAGACUUCAGGGAUGCAACCAAAGGCAAUAAUCUUGCUAAUGCAACCUGUCAGGAUGUGUGGACGGAGUAUCAUGAUAUGGGAAUUUCUGGCAUUAAAGCCGUUGCAGAUUAUAAAGUGUACACAGCUGGAUCAAUAUUAGAUCUACUUCAUUAUGUAGCUCCCAAAAUGAUGAAGCGUGGUGAUGUACAUUACUCAUAUGGCAUAGCCGAUGAUUUGGAUGAUCCAAAAUACAAUCAUUAUAAAUAUUGGUCUAAUCCAUUAGAAACUAGAUUGCCGAAUGCUCCUGAGAUGGAGAUCUUUUCUUUAUAUGGGGUUGGAAUCCCCACCGAGAGAGCCUAUAUUUACAAGCUGAGCACAACUGCAGAUUGCUACAUUCCGUUUCAAAUCGAUACAUUAGCUGACGGUGGACAUGAGUGCUCUUGUCUUAAGGGCGGGGUUUACAAUGUCAACGGAGAUGAAACAGUUCCUGUUUUAAGUGCCGGUUUUAUGUUUGCAAAAGGUUGGAAUGGAAUAACUCGGUUCAACCCCUCCGGAAUGCGGACAUUUAUAAGGGAGUAUGAUCAUGCCCCCCCGGCUAAUCUAUUAGAGGGUAGAGGCACACAAAGCGGUGCACAUGUUGAUAUAAUGGGUAAUUUUGCGCUAAUUGAGGACAUUAUUCGGGUAGCAGCAGGGGCUACAGGAGAUGAUUUGGGCGGUAAUCGUGUAUAUUCUGACAUUCUCGAGUGGUCUGAGAGGAUUGACUUGAAGCUAUAGCCGAAAAGGUUUAAGAUUUUUUCGGAAAAUGGAACUACACUAGAUGACAGGCAUCAGCUCUGCAAAUAUGUGCUGGUGUUUACUAAAGUCUCCCUCUACGAUUUCUGUACGGAUUUGCUGAUUCAUAAUAAAUAGGAUCGGUAGCUUGCACUUGUAUUUACAGCCUUCUAACACGGUGAGAUAGUAAGCUUUCCUAGAAGAUCAUCGUCCAGAUUAUGCAAGGAAUGUUGUUGUGCUUGUGCUCUUCGUGUUAUGUUGUAACUGCUGGAAUUUUUGAUGUUCAUUUAUGUACAUAACUCAUUUUUCAUAGAUAUAAAUUUUGCUUUUGGAUGUUAAUUUACAUUAUAUGAUUUGGCAUUCUUGGAUUUCAACCUUUUCGUUUUAGAAUGGCAAAUUUGUGAAAUCGGGUUUGUAAUCAGUAUCUUCUUUCAGGAUAUUAACAUUGUAAAUAAAUUAUGGGGAUUGAGAUUUCACUUGGAAUUGAUCACACUAUUCUGCAAAUAUAUUUAUCAAUGAUAAACAAUUUAGA